GUACCGCUCGUUUCCUAAAACACCGACAGUUACGCAUUUGACUGGCAGUGAUUGUGGAACGCGGAAGGCAACAUACCGCAACAGGAAGCCCACGCCUCGACACCGGGCCAGGACACGAACAAUAUGGAAAUACCCACGUUCAGUUUUCAUGCCAGCGAAAUCUGCGAAGUCGCCGCGCACGCGACGCCAGCUGGAGCCAUCGAACAGAAGCGGCAAUCUUCGCGACAAAAGGUACGCCACCCGUGCAACGGGAAAUGAAUCCGUCCGGAAAAAAACUUUAAGACACCGUUCUUUAAAAACGUGUCUCCAACGAUCUAUACUUCGCAAGCUUUCGCCGCCUGCGAUCCAAGCCCCAUUUGAUUCCCAUAAAUAUAAAAUACACGGGGCCAACGCCUCGGUUCGCGUUCUCUUAA